GGCUUCAUGGUAGAAUGGUAAGAACACUUGCCUCUCACUCUGGAGUCCCGGAUUCGAUCCCCGGCCGAAGAGCUA
rnacentral:tRNA from 1 species